UUAGGCGUUAACAAAACGUUGCUCCACCUCUAACCAUUCCGAACAGAGAAGUGAAAUGCGUUUAUGCUGAUGGUACUGCAAAUGCGGGAGAGUAAGUGAAUGCCAGCC
rnacentral:rRNA from 10 species